UCAUAAAAUUUAUCAGUUUUGAGAGGAACAAAUGAACUGCAGUCUUCAAGUGUUCCAGUCUUCUUGCCUUCCAGUCUUCCAGUCAUACAGCCUUCCAGUCUUUUAGUCUUCCAAUCUUACAGUCAUCCGAUCUUCCAAUCUUCCAGUCUUCAUUCAAGUUUGUUAUGCAUAUAUACCAAAUUCGUUACUGAUACUUUUUGCAUGUAUCAGGCAACUAGAAGCUGGGAAAAUGGAUUCUGAGGUGAUUAUGACUUUCAUUGGCUUAGUUUUUGAUAAAAAUACACUGGAAUAAAAAUCAGUUCAGACAAGAAAAGUUUUUUUUCAAAUAUCUUUUUUUCUUUGAAAGUGUCCAAGUGAAUUUUUGACGGUAGGUAGGGAACAUAAUUACCUAUGUUGCAACAAAAUUUCAUCCAAAUCAGCAAUAGGGUUUUAUUGUAAAUCGACUUUAAAUUUUUAAAAUCUAAAGUGAGUAAAGUGAGAAAUUUUGGUGUUUACUAAAUUUUCCUCCUUAAAGCUAAGUAUGCACCUCUUGCGAAAUGAAAUUUCCUAUACAAAACCUAUGCAUAAAAAACGUCGCGAAAUGCUCGCGAAAAAAAAUUUCCUUUCCAUUUCGUAAGCGGUACGCAGCUCUCGCGAAAACGAUAACGAAAAAUGCAGUUAGCCGAGACACGGUUCGACAAACGAUAAGUUUCAUAAUACUUCCGCGAGAUAGCGCUGCUUUCUAUGCGCUGUCACCAAGGCAAACUUUUUCCUUGCGAAAUAAUGGUCAAUGGUAUUAUUUCGCACGGAGGCUCGCGAAAUUUUGACAGGUUGCAAUGAAAAAAUAUAAAAAACACAAGAUUAGUAAUUUUUUGUAUUUUUUUUCAUCGCGACCUGUCAAAAUUUUGUAGUUUUGAGAAUUAAUAUUUUGAAUUUGAAUGGUAAGUUUUAAAAUAUUAUUGGAAUUGUGAUUGUUUCUAGUAAUUAUUAUUAUUUACAGGCACACCCGAACAAAGCAGCCACAAGAGCAGCAUUUUUCGUCAGCAGCAGAAGCAGCAGCCAUCUAUCUACUUGAUAAGUUUUCAUCAACAACAACCAGAUGCUACAAAUCAGCUCAACUUGAUUCAACAUCCUGGAUCUGGCAAUCAGCCAACCAACAUUAAAUCGAUACAACCGUAGCAGUACCAACAACUCCAAAUCCAGCAGCUGCCAACAAUCUCAAAAAAGAACCACAGCAAUUACAGCUCAGAACCAACAAAGCAACAAGAGCUUUUUUUACGAAUAAUGGACCCAACGGACACACUUUAUCGGCACAUUCUGUCGUAAAACUUGCCUGCCACUAUUCUUACCAGCGGUUACCUUCCUUAUGUAGAGAAAUCAGAUUCAAACACAAACGUCAUAUUACUGCUUUGGCUCCUACCAGUUGCUUGCAUGAAAAUAUCGCUGCCUCCACAGUGCUCGUGAUUCCAUCCCAGCAGCAGCUAGCAACCACAAUUCCAGUGCUUAUCGCCAGCAACAUCAGAAAAUUAAGAUUUCCCCAGACCAUGACCAUCAUCCGACAGAUCGGUAGCAACAACGUUCAACUGACGGUAGAACCUGGCCAGCAACCGCAACUAGUGCAAUCGAUCCAAGCCAAUCAGGGCCAAAUGUAGAAGACCAUUGGUCAACCACAAAAAAAGAUACAUCAACAGCACCUUCAAACACAGUAGCAGCAGCAUACUGUACUGUACCACGCCUCGUGCAGGAGGACUUUUUUAUUCAGUUGGUGCAGCAAGAUCGAACAGCAACCAUAGCAUAUACACAUCACCGAACACCAGCAACAUAAUGCCAUGGUAACCACCCAGCAGCAGAACACGGUGAUAAUGGGCCAACAGUAAAUACAACAUCAAGAUCCUCGGAAAGGACUUUCUCUUUCGAACAAACAUAAUGGAAGCAUACUCUACACGCGCGACAUAUUCAAUCGGGCCAACUGACUGUGUGACUCGUUUGGAAAAAAAGCGCUCAUCAUCGGUUUCAUGGCAGCGAAGUAAGCAGACAAAAGAAGGCGUUUUUUUCCGCAAGGUCGCUCUAAGCAAAAGUUCAGCCAAUUGCAAGGAAUUGCAACCGGAGUGACAGUAUCCGUGCUGUUUGGGACCUUUUUCCAUAUAUUGUAGCUUUUGAAUUUUAAUACCCGGUCGAAACGAUGGCAAGUGCUGCCGAUAACUGGGUCAAAAAGGCGGAGGGAGGAAUUUCUGCACUCGGUUAUCGAUCUGAGUAUCCGUAAGGAUAAGGAACCAGAGCCGGCGGCUGACAGCCCAAAGAAAGAGAAUGCGGAAAAACCUUCUAGUUCACCGCCAGUAGAACCAGAGAUCAAAUUAGUCCCGUAGAAACGGCUGCACCUGCAGUUUUGUUUUCGGUAGCUACAGAAAUUAAGACUAGCAGCUCCUGAAGAAAAAAAAGCUGCUAGCGAAAAUGGCGAAACAGCUUCCACCACGGAAGAUGCAGAGGCAUUCAACCCGGCGGAUGCAAGUUUGCUAAUUAAACUUAUUCGCAGGUGAUUUGCCUCUCCCCACGUAUGAACUGGCAAUUCAGAAGGGGAAAGUAGCUGCAAAACGGCAAAGUUAAACCGUUCGCGGUGAGAAGAUCGUCAAAGGGGCGAAGCUGACUAAUCAUAUCAUCAUCGGAACAGCCGGGCGUUCGACCUUAAGAAGAUUGCAAUUUUUGUACCGGACGAGGCGGGCGUUAUGAUCGCUGUUCUUUUUAGCCACGUACGAGCGGGAGGUGAUGGGAUUCGUCCAGUACAUCAUAACCAAUCCGAUCAUGAUUCUUCUGGUGCGGGAGCAAGAAUCACUCGAUAACACCAAACACUACUACGUCAAAUGCCGCAACCAGGACGAGAAAUAUCAAGCAAUUUCAAACAUGUACGGUGUGAUUACCGUCGGACAAGCGAUCAUUUUCUGUCAUAUGAUGUAUAGGACAGUUGUAAACUCCAAGUAAACUUAUUUUCGGCAUUGUUAAUCGAUCGAAACAGGCACGCAAAACGGCCGGUUGGACCAGGAUAAUCACUCAGUAGCGGUACUGUCCGGUGAUCUAACGGCGGAGCAACGGUUGGCCGUUCUGGAUCGAUCCUGAGCCGGACUAGAGAAGGUAUUGAUUGCAACGAACGUUUUGUCUAGGGGUAAGUUCCACCACUUGAUUCUGGCUGCAGCACCAGGUUACGGAGAGAUUCUUCCGCCCAUCAACUUCGACCUGCCGAUGGAUUAGCAGGGACGAGCCGAUUGCGAAACGUAUCUACAUCGAAUUAGACGCACCGGUAGAUUCGGUAAGUGUGACUCAUUCUUGUGAUCCUAUAGAUUGUAUUUCUUCCCACUUCUUUAACAGAACGGAAUCACCAUCAACCUAGUGGGCAGUGAUCGAAGCAUGAUGAUUUGCAGAUCAAUCGAAAAACACUUCCGGAAAAAGAUUCAGUUGCUAGACGCGGAGAACUCGGACGAAAUUGAAAAGAUCGCAUCGUAAAGUGUUUUCGACCAGCUACUGGUGAAAGGCAUAGGAGCUUUUUUGGGUCAUACUUGUUAUGAUUCUGAAUUUAUAAUUUUAUUAAUUUUUUUUUCUUCCUUGACCUGACAUAUGUAACCAACAGGGUAAUAAAUUUACAAUUAAAAUUACAAUUUAUCUCUACCCAGUUCUAUCCAAAAAUUUGAAAAGGGCCUAACUGCAAAAUGUAACAAAUUGAAAUUUCAUGUUUUCCAUUAACAAAUAUCUACCCGAGCACGUACAUAACGCAACAUUUUAUCAUGAAGAAUUUUGAUAGCGAUUUUACAACAAUUAAUAAAAGGGUCUAAUUGAUUUUUAUGACCGAACUGAUUAUGAAAGGACCUAACUGAUUGAAAAGUGCCUAACUAACAAUACACUCGUUUUAAAUGGAUUAUAACGUAUUAUUGUAUUAUGACUGAUUGUAAAAGGCUUAUAACAUCUUUUCCAUAAUUUACAUACAGGGUCAAUCUGACCAUCAAAUUAGAAUUCAGUUAAUUCGUCUAACUUUCGGUGUAAUAUCACACUUGAACAGCAUUUUUUGUGUGAGGUAUUCUGCCGCUAGAAGCAAAACUGUCCCAUGUGCUAUGGGAAUCCCUAUACACAUGGGACAAUUAUGCUUCUUGUGGCAGUAAUGCAAGUAGUAGCAAUAUGCGCAAUUCCUUAAACCUCUAGUGUUUCAUGCAAUAAGAAUUACCACGAAUUACUUAUGGAAAUAAAUUUGAACUACGAUUCUCACAAUUGUUAUACCAAAAA